AUUGAACGCUGGCGGCAUGCCUUACACAUGCAAGUCGAACGGCAGCGGACCUUCGGGUGCCGGCGAGUGGCGAACGGGUGAGUAAUAUAUCGGAACGUACCUUUCAGUGGGGGAUAACGUAGCGAAAGUUACGCUAAUACCGCAUAUUCUGUGAGCAGGAAAGCAGGGGAUCGCAAGACCUUGCGCUGAUUGAGCGGCCGAUAUCAGAUUAGCUAGUUGGUGAGGUAAAGGCUCACCAAGGCGACGAUCUGUAGCGGGUCUGAGAGGAUGAUCCGCCACACUGGAACUGAGACACGGUCCAGACUCCUACGGGAGGCAGCAGUGGGGAAUUUUGGACAAUGGCGGCAAGACCUCGAUCCACGCCAUGCCGCGUGAGUGAAGAAGG
rnacentral:rRNA from 1 species